GGAGGAAAAGAAACUAACAAGGAUUCCCCUAGUAACGGCGAGUGAAGCGGGAAGAGCUCAAAUUUGAAAUCUGGUAGCCUUCGGUUGCCCGAGUUGUAAUCUAGAGAAGUGUUUUCCGUGCCGGCCCAUGUACAAGUCCCUUGGAACAGGGCGUCAUAGAGGGUGAGAAUCCCGUCCUUGACAUGGACCCCCGGUGCUUUGUGAUACACUUUCAACGAGUCGAGUUGUUUGGGAAUGCAGCUCAAAAUGGGUGGUGAAUUCCAUCUAAAGCUAAAUAUUGGCGAGAGACCGAUAGCGAACAAGUACCGUGAGGGAAAGAUGAAAAGCACUUUGGAAAGAGAGUUAAACAGUACGUGAAAUUGUUGAAAGGGAAACGAUUGAAGUCAGUCAUGCUCUUGGGACUUACCUCCCUUGAGUGGGGUCAACAUCAGUUUUGAUCGAUGGAUAAAGGCACGGGGAAGGUAGCACUCUCGGGUGAACUUAUAGCCUCGCGUCAUAUACAUUGAUUGGGACUGAGGAACGCAGCAUGCCUUUUGGCCGGGAUUCGUCCACGUACAUGCUUAGGAUGUUGACAUAAUGGCUUUAAACGACCCGUCUUGAAC
rnacentral:rRNA from 1 species